UCUCGAGAAAAAUAAUAAGGAGAAGGAAGUUUUGAACAAGACUCCAAAAUUACAUAAUUGUUUCACGAAAAAACAUGGUACAGAAGAGAAAGCUGGUCCGGAAAAAGAUUGUUUAGUCUUAGAGAACAAAGAUGACAACGAUGUGACUGUUAAAUUUUUAAGUAACAUAUCACUAUUUCAACCUGAUGCUUCUACAAAAGAGAAAAAAGAAAUUAAAAAUCUAGCUACGAGCGACGAAACAACAGAUAUCAAGUCGAACGAGAAAAUGAUGAAUG